rnacentral:rRNA from 1 species
CUACGGGCGGCUGCAGUGGGGGAUAUUGCACAAUGGGCGAAAGCCUGAUGCAGCAACGCCGCGUGAAGGAAGACGGAUUUCGGUCUGUAAACUUCUAUCAGCUGGGAAGAAAAUGACGGUACCAGACUAAGAAGCCCCGGCUAACUACGUGCCAGCAGCCGCGGUAAUACGUAGGGGGCAAGCGUUAUCCGGAUUUACUGGGUGUAAAGGGUACGUAGGCGGUCGCUUAAGUCAGAUGUGAAAGCCCGAAGCUCAACUUCGGGACUGCAUUUGAAACUGGGUGACUAGAGUACAGGAGAGGAAAGCGGAAUUCCUAGUGUAGCGGUGAAAUGCGUAGAUAUUAGGAAGAACACCAGUGGCGAAGGCGGCUUUCUGGACUGUAACUGACGCUGAGGUACGAAAGCGUGGGGAGCGAACAGGAUUAGAUACCCUUGUAGUC